UACAGAGGGUGCAAGCGUUAAUCGGAAUUACUGGGCGUAAAGCGAACGUAGGCGGUUACCUAAGUCGGAUGUGAAAUCCCCGGGCUCAACCUGGGAAUUGCAUUCGAGACUGGAUAGCUAGAAUGCGGAAGAGGGAAGCGGAAUUUCCGGUGUAGCGGUGAAAUGCGUAGAUAUCGGAAGGAACAUCAGUGGCGAAAGCGGCUUCCUGGUCCAGCAUUGACGCUCAGGUUCGAAAGCGUGGGGAGCAAACAGGAUUAGAUACCCUGGUAGUCCACGCCAUAAACGAUGAGGACUAGACGUUGAGAGGGUUAGCCUCCCAGUGUCGCAGCUAACGCGCUAAGUCCUCCGCCUGGGGAGUACGGCCGCAAGGUUGAA
rnacentral:rRNA from 1 species